rnacentral:rRNA from 1 species
AGAACGAACGCUGGCGGCAUGCCUAACACAUGCAAGUCGAACGGGACCUUCGGGUCUAGUGGCGCACGGGUGCGUAACGCGUGGGAAUCUGCCCUCAGGUACGGAAUAACUCAGGGAAACUUGAGCUAAAUACCGUAUAAUGACUUCGGUCCAAAGAUUUAUCGCCUGAGGAUGAGCCCGCGUAGGAUUAGCUUGUUGGUGAGGUAAAGGCUCACCAAGGCGACGAUCCUUAGCUGGUCUGAGAGGAUGAUCAGCCACACUGGGACUGAGACACGGCCCAGACUCCUACGGGAGGCAGCAGUGGGGAAUAUUGGACAAUGGGCGAAAGCCUGAUCCAGCAAUGCCGCGUGAGUGAUGAAGGCCUUAGGUUGUAAAGCUCUUUUACCCGGGAUGAUAAUGACGGUACCCACAGAAGAAGCCCGGCUAACUUCGUGCCAGCAGCCGC